GACAGAGGGGGCAAGCGUUGCUCGGAAUUACUGGGCGUAAAGGGCGCGUAGGCGGGAUGGUAAGUCGGUCGUGAAAUCCCUCGGCUCAACCGAGGAACGUCGAUCGAUACUACCGUUCUUGAGGAUUGCAGAGGAGACUGGAAUUCCCGGUGUAGCGGUGAAAUGUGUAGAGAUCGGGAGGAACACCGGUGGCGAAGGCGGCGCUCUGGAACGUUUCUGACGCUGAGGCUCGAAAGCGUGGGGAGCAAACAGG
rnacentral:rRNA from 1 species